ACGGGAGGCAGCAGUGGGGGAAUAUUGCACAAUGGGCGCAAGCUGAUGCAGCGACGCCGCGUGAGGGAUGACGGCUUUCGGGUGUAAACCUCUUUCAGCAGGGAAGAAGCGCAAGUGACGGUACCUGCAGAAGAAGCGCCGGCUAACUACGUGCCAGCAGCCGCGGUAAUACGUAGGGCGCAAGCGUUGUCCGGAAUUAUUGGGCGUAAAGAGCUCGUAGGCGGUCUGUCGCGUCUGCUGUGAAAACCUCAGGCUCAACCUGGGGCUUGCAGUGGGUACGGGCAGACUAGAGUGCGGUAGGGGUGACUGGAAUUCCUGGUGUAGCGGUGGAAUGCGCAGAUAUCAGGAGGAACACCGAUGGCGAAGGCAGGUCACUGGGCCGCAACUGACGCUGAGGAGCGAAAGCAUGGGGAGCGAACAGGAUUAGAUACCCUGGUAGUCCAUGCCGUAAACGUUGGGCACUAGGUGUGGGGUCCAUUCCACGGAUUCCGUGCCGCAGCAAACGCAUUAAGUGCCCCGCCUGGGGAGUACGGCCGCAAGGCUAAAACUCAAAGAAAUUGACGGGGGCCCGCACAAGCGGCGGAGCAUGCGGAUUAAUUCGAUGCAACGCGAAGAACCUUACCAAGGCUUGACAUGCACCGGUAACACUCAGAGAUGGGUGCCCCGCAAGGUCGGUGCACAGGUGGUGCAUGGUGUCGUCAGCUCGUGUCGGAGA
rnacentral:rRNA from 1 species